CGCCACUGGCACCAAGAAUAGUCCAAAAAUCAAAUCCAAAAAAGAAAUCCUACCAAGAAGAUUGAUGAAGUAUAUUGAAGAGCCGGAUCAAAGAAGCUCCAUCCUCAUCGCCGGAGACUGAAAGCCAUUAUCAUCAUUGAAGAAGCUUUGCAUCGCUACCUCACCAAUCAUCACCACUAUCAAUAUAUACCAGAAAGUAGUUCCACCCAGCCAUGCUUUAAUAACCGGCUCUUGAGGUAAGAUGUCAUUGUCAUCAAGCUGUCUAAGGAAAACGGCUUUGUGAGCAGUGCCGGCUACAAAAAUGGCUAGGGUUAGCCAUUUAAAAUUUUUGGGGCUUCAUGUUUAAUGCUUUGUUCUACAAUACAAUAUGAAUGAAGAAGAUACAUAGAUAACAGCACUAUAACCUGUCUCUGUUAUUCUCUCAUAUCUGCACAUCGGUGGAGCCGUCUUUCACUUUCGUGGAGUCGCAUGUUCUUAACAAAGAUCCACUUGAAGUGGUGUUAAUGCUUCAACAUGGCUACCCAUUUUUGGGAUGCAAUCCAUUAGUUUCUUCGAUCUCGGGGGGGUUAUGAAUGCAAGUUUAAAUAUAAUCAACGCAUGUUCAUUUUCUUCAAACAAAUAGAAGGAUCAAAGUCGUUCAUUCUUUGUGCAAGAUGGCUGUUAUUAAUGCUUGUGUUCAUAAAGGAAGAUGAACGUCUUUUAUUGUCUUUCAUUUGUUUUGUCUAUUCAUAUUAGGAAGUCAGGUCUUUUGGUUUAUUUACACCCAUACAUAGAGGUUUGUUAAAUCCAUUAAAUGCACCAUUCGUUUUGUGUAAAUAGAAGAGACGCUCUAUAACUUUUUGGACAAUGCUUUUCUUUGUUUUGUGUGAGCUUUCUUUGUUCUUCUUCACCAAGCUUAUGCACGCAAGAAUAGAGAUGGAUUUCGGGGACUUUGCCAGUCUCGAUGCUUUAGGGCCUUCCUCUGGUGACUAUAGGAUCUUCGUGAAGGUGGAUGGGGCUUACUUGAGGACAAACUUUGACGUGUAUGACAGAGAUAUGGGGUGGCCAAAGAGGGUUCCAUCUGUGGAUUCCAAUGUAUUCGACCCUGCAGGACAUGCAUGAUCAAUCUCUGUUUUUGGAGAUGCCAACAUUAGGAGGUUUGUAAUAGGCUUGAAGAGACAAAGACCUACUAUAUUCACUUUUUCAGUUAGGUCUGAAGGUCUUGGAGUGCAUCGAAAGAUUCACUUGGAGUUGGACGAGCGCACCGAGAUGGUGGAGCACUCUGUAAUUCAUUCCUUCCCAUUGCUUCAAGGUGAAGCCUGUUCGGGAACUCAGAUGUUUGUGGUUUCUUGAAAGAGAUGGUUAUAUACGAUUGGUAUGAAGAUGGAGCAGCGAUAAGCUCGAGUGCACUCUGUUUGGUGAUCCUGCAAUUGC